CCAGACUCCUACGGGAGGCAGCAGUGGGGAAUAUUGGACAAUGGGGGGAACCCUGAUCCAGCCAUGCCGCGUGUGUGAAGAAGGCCUUAUGGUUGUAAAGCACUUUAAGCGAGGAGGAGGCUACUAGUAUUAAUACUACUGGAUAGUGGACGUUACUCGCAGAAUAAGCACCGGCUAACUCUGUGCCAGCAGCCGCGGUAAUACAGAGGGUGCGAGCGUUAAUCGGAUUUACUGGGCGUAAAGCGUGCGUAGGCGGCCAUUUAAGUCAAAUGUGAAAUCCCCGAGCUUAACUUGGGAAUUGCAUUCGAUACUGGAUGGCUAGAGUAUGGGAGAGGAUGGUAGAAUUCCAGGUGUAGCGGUGAAAUGCGUAGAGAUCUGGAGGAAUACCGAUGGCGAAGGCAGCCAUCUGGCCUAAUACUGACGCUGAGGUACGAAAGCAUGGGGAGCAAACAGGAUUAGAUACCCUGGUAGUCCAUGCCGUAAACGAUGUCUACUAGCCGUUGGGGCCUUUGAGGCUUUAGUGGCGCAGCUAACGCGAUAAGUAGACCGCCUGGGGAGUACGGUCGCAAGACUAAAACUCAAAUGAAUUGACGGGGGCCCGCACAAGCGGUGGAGCAUGUGGUUUAAUUCGAUGCAACGCGAAGAACCUUACCUGGCCUUGACAUACUAGAAACUUUCCAGAGAUGGAUUGGUGCCUUCGGGAAUCUAGAUACAGGUGCUGCAUGGCUGUCGUCAGCUCGUGUCGUGAGAUGUUGGGUUAAGUCCCGCAACGAGCGCAACCCUUUUCCUUACUUGCCAGCAUUUCGGAUGGGAACUUUAAGGAUACUGCCAGUGACAAACUGGAGGAAGGCGGGGACGACGUCAAGUCAUCAUGGCCCUUACGGCCAGGGCUACACACGUGCUACAAUGGUCGGUACAAAGGGUUGCUACCUAGCGAUAGGAUGCUAAUCUCAAAAAGCCGAUCGUAGUCCGGAUUGGAGUCUGCAACUCGACUCCAUGAAGUCGGAAUCGCUAGUAAUCGCGGAUCAGAAUGCCGCGGUGAAUACGUUCCCGGGCCUUGUACACACCGCCCGUCACACCAUGGGAGUUUGUUGCACCAGAAGUAGGUAGUCUAACCGCAAGGAGGACGCUUACCACGGUGUGGCCGAUGACUGGGGUGAAGUCGUAACAAGGUAGCCGUAGGGGAACCUGCGG
rnacentral:rRNA from 1 species